GAGUUUGAUCCUGGCUCAGAUUGAACGCUGGCGGCAGGCCUAACACAUGCAAGUCGAGUGGUAACAGAUCCAGCUUGCUGGAUGCUGACGAGCGGCGGACGGGUGAGUAAUGCAUAGGAAUCUGCCCGAUAGUGGGGGAUAACCUGGGGAAACCCAGGCUAAUACCGCAUACGUCCUACGGGAGAAAGGGGGCUCCGGCUCCCGCUAUGGGAUGAGCCUAUGUCGGAUUAGCUAGUUGGUGAGGUAACGGCUCACCAAGGCCACGAUCCGUAGCUGGUCUGAGAGGAUGAUCAGCCACAUCGGGACUGAGACACGGCCCGAACUCCUACGGGAGGCAGCAGUGGGGAAUAUUGGACAAUGGGGGCAACCCUGAUCCAGCCAUGCCGCGUGUGUGAAGAAGGCCCUCGGGUUGUAAAGCACUUUCAGCGAGGAAGAACGCCUAGCGGUUAAUACCCGCUAGGAAAGACAUCACUCGCAGAAGAAGCACCGGCUAACUCCGUGCCAGCAGCCGCGGUAAUACGGAGGGUGCAAGCGUUAAUCGGAAUUACUGGGCGUAAAGCGCGCGUAGGUGGCUUGAUAAGCCGGUUGUGAAAGCCCCGGGCUCAACCUGGGAACGGCAUCCGGAACUGUCAAGCUAGAGUGCAGGAGAGGAAGGUAGAAUUCCCGGUGUAGCGGUGAAAUGCGUAGAGAUCGGGAGGAAUACCAGUGGCGAAGGCGGCCUUCUGGACUGACACUGACACUGAGGUGCGAAAGCGUGGGUAGCAAACAGGAUUAGAUACCCUGGUAGUCCACGCCGUAAACGAUGUCGACCAGCCGUUGGGUGCCUAGCGCACUUUGUGGCGAAGUUAACGCGAUAAGUCGACCGCCUGGGGAGUACGGCCGCAAGGUUAAAACUCAAAUGAAUUGACGGGGGCCCGCACAAGCGGUGGAGCAUGUGGUUUAAUUCGAUGCAACGCGAAGAACCUUACCUACUCUUGACAUCCUGCGAAUUUGGUAGAGAUACCUUAGUGCCUUCGGGAACGCAGAGACAGGUGCUGCAUGGCUGUCGUCAGCUCGUGUA
rnacentral:rRNA from 1 species